rnacentral:lncRNA from 1 species
GGGACAUCCGAUAAAAUUGGAACGAUACAGAGAAGAUUAGCAUGGCCCCUGCGCAAGGAUGACACGCAUAAAUCGAGAAAUGGUCCAAAUUUUUUUGCUCUUUUCUGCAAUUCUGUUUUUUGUUUUUUUGGUGCUCUCCAUGGUGUUUGCUCACAAUCCCAAGGGCCAAAGGCGUAGUUCACUGCAGUUACAGAGGGCUUUUGGGAGCUAUAAACAUUUCGCAUUUCAAGUCUUUGAUGGUCCGGUGGCCUAGUCUUUGAUCUUCUGGGGUGAGUAAAAGUUUGAAUUCAAUGUAGUUUUCUAAAUUAAAAGCAUAUUUAUGUUGUAUUUUAUGGUUCAGAGGCUGAGUUUUUAGUAUGGAAUCUUUCGUCUUCCAAUUUAAUGCAUGUAAAAAGCUCGCCUACUAGCUGUUUGAUAAAAUGACUCUGUUGAUAUGACCCUUACAUCAUAAUGCGUGUGUGCUCGUUUAGAAGCUUCAAUCUUGGUUGUUUGAGAAAUUCUUAUAUCAUAAUAGUAGCAAUUUAGGUUUCAUUCUGAGCAAAUCAACAUAUACUUGAUAGUUAUCUUGUUUUAACUUCCUAGAUUUUCAUUCAAAAUUAGUAAUUACGCAAGAGUUCUAGGGGGAUAAUUUCUUAACUCCUGCCUAGAUCAGUUUUAGAACAUACGGUUGAAAACUUGAAGGCCAUGUUAUGGCACUAGUUUUAUAAAACGGAGGGUUGCGGUUUGAAAUUUGAAUAAUAUGCUAUCUGCUGCCUUGGGUUAUCAUCGCUGUAAAGCAGAACGCUGUCUAUAAUGCUGUGCGCUUCUGGAACUGCCCACCUGAGGGCUUUGUUGUAGGCUUUUAGCCCUGUGAUUUCAAUAUCCUGCUAACAGUAAGAUUCAUUAGUGAUUUGAAGUGCUAAGUAACAAGAAAACGUAUCCUAGAUGAUGAUGUCAUGUUGGAUACAAGAGUUGAAGAAUUUACCAUCCUUGUGGUGAUAUGUUCAGACAGACUGGAAUUAGAGUUGGGAUUAAGGACAUGAAAUCUGAAACCUAUUUUCAUGAAAUUUCUUUUGUUUCUGACUUGGUUUUUUUGCUUACGUACACUUAUUGUCAGCUGGGGGGUGAUAACAGCACCUGUGUUCUUGGCUUGAAUUGGCUGCUUCUUGAUAUUUAUGGAUUCUCAUGCCUUUGACUGACCCACGUUUCAUAUUUGUAUCAUGACAGGCCCCUUGAGCUUUCAAGCUUGCACUCAUGGAUCUUUCGAAAGUCCAUACUGUCUGUUACUUCGAAAAUCAUGAAGCUGAUAUAUCAUUUGAAUUGAUUGUCGGAAUCGCUUCAUUUUGAGAAUUUGAAGGUAGUGAAAGCCAUACCACUUUUUUUCUUUAUCAAGUGAUCAACUCAAAACUAAAGCCUUACCAGUUUGACAUAUAGUUGGCCUUUGUAUCUAAAGUCUGUUGCUUGAAGCAUGUUGAUACUUGACAUAUUUUCCUUGACAAUAUUAUGAUGCAAAUUCCGG